GAUGAACGCUGGCGGCGUGCUUAACACAUGCAAGUCGAACGAAGCAUUUUAACGGAACAUUUUCGGAUGGGAAGUUAAAAUGACUGAGUGGCGGACGGGUGAGUAACGCGUGGAUAACCUACCAUAUACAGGGGGACAACAGUUGGAAACGACUGCUAAUACCGCAUAAGCGCACAGUGCCGCAUGGCACGGUGUGAAAAACUCCGGUGGUAUAUGAUGGAUCCGCGUCUGAUUAGCUAGUUGGUGAGGUAAUGGCCCACCAAGGCAACGAUCAGUAGCCGACCUGAGAGGGUGACCGGCCACAUUGGGACUGAGACACGGCCCAAACUCCUACGGGAGGCAGCAGUGGGGAAUAUUGCACAAUGGGCGAAAGCCUGAUGCAGCGACGCCGCGUGAGCGAAGAAGUAUUUCGGUAUGUAAAGCUCUAUCAGCAGGGAAGAAAAUGACGGUACCUGACUAAGAAGCCCCGGCUAACUACGUG
rnacentral:rRNA from 1 species